GUGACAUUGUUCAACGGCCGCGGUAUUCUAACCGUGCGAAGGUAGCGUAAUCACUUGUUUUUUAAAUGAGGACUAGUAUGAAUGGCUUCACGAAGGCUAUACUGUCUCCCUUAUCUAAUCAGUUAAACUAAUCUUCCCGUGAAGAAGCGGGAAUAAGCCUAUAAGACGAGAAGACCCUAUGGAGCUUUAAACACUUUCAAACAUUUGAUAUUUAACAUUUUUAACUUUCAGUAAAACUUCAUUAAACCCAUCAAUUUGUUCUAAGUUUUAGGUUGGGGUGACCACGGAGAACAACCAAACCUCCACGUAGAAAGAAUCUCUCUCUAAGCAAAAAGCUACAGCUUUACGCAUCAAAAUACUGACCUUAAUUGACCCA
rnacentral:rRNA from 1 species